rnacentral:sRNA from 1 species
AUGAUGAUGACAUUAUAGCAGACAUAAGUAACAGGAAAAUGGCUAAACUAUACAUGGUUUCAGAUGCAAGUGGCUCCAUGAGAGUGACUGUGGUGGCAGAAGAAAACCCCUUCUCAAUGGCAAUGCUGCUGUCUGAAGAAUGCUUUAUUUUGGACCACGGGGCUGCAAAACAAAUUUUCGUAUGGAAAGGUAAAGAUGCUAAUCCCCAAGAGAGGAAGGCUGCAAUGAAGACAGCUGAAGAAUUUCUACAGCAAAUGAAUUAUUCCAAGAACACCCAAGUAUGUGUGAAACUGAACUGGCUAGAAAAAAAUAGAAAACAUGGGAGCUCAUGACAUCUCCACGAAACUCAUGAAAAAGUUUGGGUCAAAGUAACGUCUGUAUGUGAAGUGAUUCUCCACCUGCCUGUCUGCUGCAAUCUGGUGUCCCUCUUCUUUAUCUGUGUGGGGGUUAGAAUUUUUUAGAAACUGCACAUCAGACUUUCCAUAGAGCUGCCCAUUCACUUCCUCCACAGCCUUUAAUUCAAGAUAGUAAACCACAGUAGAUUUGGCUAAGAGCACUUAAGAGUUAUUAUUCCUUAGAGCAAGUUGUGCAGACUUGGCCUGAAACCCAGAUGAUAUUUGUCUUCAUCGAAAUCAAUUUAGACCCUGGCUAGUUACUCCUUUCCUUUCCGAAUCUCUCAGCCUCAUCUACUCUCCUCAUUUUUAUGUCCCUGCACAAGGAACACAAUGAGAUCAUUUCUUCCAGGUCACAGAGCUCUUGUGACCCUUAUGUAGAAAGACAAACUUAUUUUACUGCAGGGGUAACAUAUUAAAGAACUUGAUUCUUCUCUCAAAUAUUCAAAUUCAGCGGCAAUUACUUUAGUUGUGAGAAAAAGCAAUUUUGGAUUAUAUGAGCUUGAUAGCUAAACCAGGAUAAUUUUCCAUUUCCUUAGUUCUGUCUCCACUGCCAGAUUCAUAUUUUCCCUUAAUU